rnacentral:snoRNA from 1 species
ACCAAGCUAUGAUGAAAAACACAGUCAACAGUUAUCCCUGUCUGAAUUCAAUGUGUUGAUCUAUUUAAUUAGACUCUGAGCAACAU